rnacentral:misc_RNA from 1 species
AACGCACCUUGCGCCCUCUGGUAUUCCGGAGGGCAUGCCUGUUUGAGUGUCUUGAUAUCAUCAAACCCCUCGGGUUCGCGCCCGUUGCGGUUUGGAGUUGGGGGCUUGCUGCCGUGAGGCGGCUCCCCUUAAAAUCAUCGGUUUGGCCCGCAUCAUGCGGCUAGCACCUUUGGCGUUGUAUUUUCCUCGCCUUCGAUCGGUCUUGCUCGCUUCCGCGCCUCACCUCGACUUGCCCUUUGGGUGGCGGUCACUUCUUGACAAUCUGGCCUCAAAUCAGGUAGGACUACCCGCUGAACUUAA